AAGGGGGGUUUGAAUCAUGGCUCAGAACGAAUGCUGGCGGCGUGCCUAAUACAUGCAAGUCGGGCGAAUGGAUGGGAGCUUGCUCCCUGAAGUUAGCGGCGGACGGGUGAGUAACACGUGGGCAACCUGCCCUAUAGUUUGGGAUAACUCCGGGAAACCGGGGCUAAUACCGAAUAAUACAUUUCAUCUCCUGGUGAAAUGUUGAAAGAUGGUUUCGGCUAUCGCUAUAGGAUGGGCCCGCGGCGCAUUAGCUAGUAGGUGAGGUAACGGCUCACCUAGGCGACGAUGCGUAGCCGACCUGAGAGGGUGAUCGGCCACACUGGGACUGAGACACGGCCCAGACUCCUACGGGAGGCAGCAGUAGGGAAUCUUCCACAAUGGACGAAAGUCUGAUGGAGCAACGCCGCGUGAGUGAAGAAGGUUUUCGGAUCGUAAAACUCUGUUGUAAGGGAAGGACAAGUGCAGUAGUAACUGGCUGCACCUUGACGGUACCUUAUUAGAAAGCCACGGCUAACUACGUGCCAGCAGCCGCGGUAAUACGUAGGUGGCAAGCGUUGUCCGGAUUUAUUGGGCGUAAAGCGCGCGCAGGCGGUUUCUUAAGUCUGAUGUGAAAGCCCCGGCUUAACCGGGGAGGGUCAUUGGAAACUGGGAGAUUGAGUGCAGAAGAGGAAAGUGGAAUUCCAAGUGUACGGUGAAAUGCGUAGAGAUUUGGAGGAACACCAGUGGC
rnacentral:rRNA from 1 species